AAGUGGAAUUCCCUGGGUAGCGGGGAAAUGCGUAAAGAUAUGGAGGAACACCAGUGGGGAAGGCGACUCUCUGGUCUGUAACUGACGCUGAGGCGCGAAAACGUGGGGAGGAAACAGGAUUAUAUACCCUGGUAGUCCACGCCGUAGACGAUGAGUGCUAAGUGUUAGAGGGUUUCCGCCCCUUAGUGCGGAAGUAAACACAUUAAACACUCCGCCCGGGGAGUACGGCCGCAAGGCUGAGACUCAAAGGAAUUGACGGGGGCCCGCACAAGCGGUGGAGCAUGUGUUUUAAUU
rnacentral:rRNA from 1 species